GUUGAAUAUGUAACUGCUCUCUCUCAGGCUUUGACCAAAAUCCAUGCACAAGUGUUUUCUUCCAUUUCAGAUCCAGAUUCUGAUACGGGCAUCCACAAGCUACUUCCUGGUGAUUGGGUCCUGGUUAAGAGGUUCCUGAGGAAAAGCUCUCUUGAGCCAAGAUAUGAUGGUCCUUUCCAAGUCCUCCUGACCACAUCUACCUCAGUGAAAUUGGCUGGGAAAAAGACUUGUAUACACACUUCCCACUGCAAGAAAGUUCCAGCUCCAGAGGAAGCAGAUCUCGCUAAGUCAUGAGCUUCAUGUACCUUUUUCUGCUGCCUUAUAGAGGCCCAGCAAGUUGCUAUAACCAAAGAUAAUCAUGUUUACACAUUUUGGUAUAACGCCUCCAACACACAUGUAGAUACAUUUACUUUUGACUACUGUGAUAUUGUCACUUGUACCUUCCCACAAUCAUUGCUGUCAACAAUAUACAAAGAUAUACCUAGAAAAAAGGACCCAUACAUAUGUGUGACAGAUGACUAUUGGGGACAUGACUGUAGUUCCUGGAAGGCGGCAGGUUGGAAUACAGGAUUAACAUGGGGUUAUAAACCAUGAAGUGCCCUAAACAGAGUGGACAGGAAUGGGAAGUCUUUACUAUACAGAAUGACUUUACGGAAACCAACAGGGACAACUCCAAUGAAACUUACCUUAAAUAUAGAGCACCCUAGCCCUGGAGAUACUGGAGAAUACGUAAUGGGAAUGUACUGGAAAGGGGGGGUUCAUACAACAAAUUAGGGACUUUCUAUCUACAAGACAUGUACUAUUCACCUGAGUGGGUAGACAUACAACACAUGAUGGUUAACCUUCUCAAACCACACAUCAAGACCCUCAAAGACAUGGUAGCCAUAGCUAACCCCACAUUUGAAGACACUAUGGCAGUAGAAACAGGCUUCUCAGACACUAACCUAUGGCUUGAAUGGAUGAGAUAUAAUGCUAACUCUCAUAAUAAAACUAAUUGUUAUGCAUGUGGAGGAGCACGACCCCAUUUGGGUACUGUGCCCUUAGACUUACCCCCCGAGGUAGAAACUUGUUUUUUGAGUCUUUAUGUUUAUCAGAAAACUAAUUGGUCAGCAUGUGAGUCGUGGAAAAAAGGAAUAUCCCCUUAGUACCAGGAAUAUUUGGCCACCUGAAAGCGUUACUAUAUAUCCCGGGAAUUACACCUGCUACGCUAUACACAGUGGGCCAGGUACAUUUCUAGGAAAUUUCCCUAAAGGCUAUUGUGCUACAUACAGAACACCACCUCCAGUUGAUCUCUUAAUGAGGCAAGUCAGAUCACUGGGAGACAUAUGUUGGCUGUGUGGGGACAUGCAACUCAGAUCCAGAUUGGAAGGUCUCUGGUGGGGGGAAUGUGCCCUAGCUAAAGUUAUCAUGCCCAUACACAUAAUAUCAGAUAACCACCAAGGUCCUCUCGACACAACACAUGCCUAUUUCAGAGCCAAGAGGAGAACCUCUGUUAAAGGCAGUUUUGACCCACACAUAUAUAAAGAUGCCAUGGGAGUGCCUAUGGGGGUGCCAAAUGAAUUCAAAGCAAGAGACAAAGUUGCAGCAGGCUUUAAAUCCAUCGUUCCACUAAUCACUGCCAACAAGAAUUUGAAUUGGAUUAAUUACAUCUAUUAUAACCAACAGCGUUUUGUUAAUUAUACCAGAGAUGCCCUUCAAGGGCUGGCAGAGCAAUUACAAGCUACUUCCCAGAUAGGAUGGCCCUAGAUAUGAUUUUGGCAGAAAAAGGAGGAGUAUGUAAAAUACUUCCAGACACUAUGACAUGUUGAACCUUAAUCCACGAUAACACAGGCCCUAAUGGGAAGGUGACCCUGGCAAUAGAAAAAUUAGAAAGCCUCUCAGAAGAGUUAAAGGACCAC
rnacentral:lncRNA from 1 species